AAUACGAGCGCGAAAGGCUUGCUGGGAAUCGCUAAAAAAUUAAUUUUUUUUAGCGAUUCCCAGCAAGCCUUUCGCUCUCGUAUU